UGGGGAAUAUUGGACAAUGGGCGAAAGCCUGAUCCAGCCAUGCCGCGUGUGUGAAGAAGGUCUUCGGAUUGUAAAGCACUUUAAGUUGGGAGGAAGGGUACUUACCUAAUACGUGAGUAUUUUGACGUUACCGACAGAAUAAGCACCGGCUAACUCUGUGCCAGCAGCCGCGGUAAUACAGAGGGUGCAAGCGUUAAUCGGAAUUACUGGGCGUAAAGCGCGCGUAGGUGGUUUGUUAAGUUGGAUGUGAAAGCCCCGGGCUCAACCUGGGAACUGCAUCCAAAACUGGCCAGCUGGAGUAUGGUAGCGGGGGGUGGAAUUUCCUGUGUAGCGGUGAAAUGCGUAGAUAUAGGAAGGAACACCAGGGGCGAAGGCGAACACCUGGAAUGAUACUGACACUGAGGUGCGAAAGCGUGGGGAGUAAACA
rnacentral:rRNA from 1 species